GGGUGGGGGUGAGUGGCUGUCUCCUCCCUGGAAGGAACAGUGUGUGAUGACGCAGCCAGCCAAGGACAGCCGUCACCGACCUGCAACAACAAAGGCUCCCAGCCCUGCGCCUCCAGGGACCUCGGCUGUGACAGUGCUGUGGCUGCGGACUCCUGUGAUGCAAGUUGUCCACUUUGUGAUGCUUCCUUGUGGCUGCCAUAGGACACGGGUCCCAGCCGGUGUCCUGGAGGACAGGACCCCUGUAACCUCACAACCAACCCCUUCACUAACCUGCCCCUGCCUGUGUCCCUUAGCCUUGCUCUCUCUCUCUCCCCUGGGACAAGACAGGAAGAGCCAGGGGCAGAUAAGGUCUGGCUGCUAAGCUGCUGGUCUGGUGGUAGGCCUUAGUCGGAACAGAAUGUGCUGGGCCUGAGAAAUGGUUACUUUUCGCUGGGCAGAUUUUAAAAUCGUUACUUUUCCUCUGCCCUUGCCAGCCUGAAGCCUGAGAAUUUUUCUCCCAUCUUCACAGUCAGAACGUGGUGGGGUUGCUAGAGUUGAGCUCUGUGGAACCGUGGGCCUCAAGUCCAGGCCAGGUGGUGCCAGCUCUCAGGCCAGGCCACCCUCACCGUCUGGCGACAUCUCUGUCACCAAGAAGACGCCCGGCUGGCUCCUGGCUUGCAGAACUGGGAGUGACCCACAGCCAAGAACAAGAUGAUGAUAGCAAUAACCUGAUGAUACUUCAAGGAAGCCCUUGGCAGAUGGAGAAUGAAGAAGGUUCCAGAAAACUCUCCUACAAGGCGAGAACAUGAGCACACUGAACGCGAGCA